GAUGAACGCUGGCGGCGUGCCUAACACAUGCAAGUCGAACGGAGUCGUUUUGGAAAUCUCUUCGGAGAUGGAAUUCUCGACUUAGUGGCGGACGGGUGAGUAACGCGUGAGCAAUCUGCCUUUAAGAGGGGGAUAACAGUCGGAAACGGCUGCUAAUACCGCAUAAAGCAUUAAAUUCGCAUGUUUUUGAUGCCAAAGGAGCAAUCCGCUUUUAGAUGAGCUCGCGUCUGAUUAGCUAGUUGGCGGGGUAACGGCCCACCAAGGCGACGAUCAGUAGCCGGACUGAGAGGUUGAACGGCCACAUUGGGACUGAGACACGGCCCAGACUCCUACGGGAGGCAGCAGUGGGGAAUAUUGCGCAAUGGGGGAAACCCUGACGCAGCAACGCCGCGUGAUUGAAGAAGGCCUUCGGGUUGUAAAGAUCUUUAAUCAGGGACGAAACAAAUGACGGUACCUGAAGAAUAAGCUCCGGCUAACUACG
rnacentral:rRNA from 1 species